rnacentral:tmRNA from 1 species
GGGGAUGACAUGGAUUCGACGGGGAAGAGGAUGGUCAGAACUGCAUUCCGUGCUUUCCGAGUUGCACGAUAAUAAAACGGAAAAAUCUUAAGUGCUAACUACGAUUACGCACUGGCUGCCUAAUUAAAAAAAGGUAACCCAUUCUACGCAGUUAUGCUUGAUGGACUGCGAUAGGGUGUCGAAAAUAAUCGAGAUCGUCCCGGAAUAUUCUCAGAAUUUCAGGAUUAAAUCAAACUGAGAUAGUCUGCUAUCGCUGUGUUUGGUCUGUGCGGUGCAGCUGAAAUUUAAAAACGAUCAGACUAUGAAUGUAGAAGUUUUGGUGGUCUUCUCUUCGGACCGGGGUUCGAUUCCCCGCAUCUCCACAA